rnacentral:rRNA from 1 species
GUAGGUGAACCUGCGGAAGGAUCAUUAAUGAAACUUCAAAGUCGGCCAAAGGUUGUUGCUGGUGAUUAUUCACAUGUGCACGCCUUUGGUCGCAAAUCCACACACACCUGUGCAUCUAUGACUCGAGGUUGUAAUGACUGAGAGUAACUUUUAUACACUCUUGUAUGUAAUGGAAUGUCUUUUUGUGCUAUAAUGUACAAUAUAAACAACUUUCAACAACGGAUCUCUUGGCUCUCGCAUCGAUGAAGAACGCAGCGAAAUGCGAUAAGUAAUGUGAAUUGCAGAAUUCAGUGAAUCAUCGAAUCUUUGAACGCACCUUGCACCCUUUGGUAUUCCGAAGGGUACGCCCGUUUGAGUGUCAUUGUAAUCUCACUUCUACAACUUUAUUGUUGUUUGAAUGUGGACUUGGAUGUUGCCGUUUUAUCACGGCUCGUCUUAAAUGCCUGAGUGUACCCUGUUUUGCAGCGUAUCCAGUGUAAUAAACAUUUCACUAGAGUUGGUCGAARGACCRCGUUGACUAUAUGGGCUCUAUGCUUCAAACCGUCUGCCAUGUGGACAAUUUCUUGACAAUUUGACCUCAAAUCGGGUGGGACUACCCGCUGAACUUAAGCAUAUCAAUAAGCGGAGGAAAAGAAACUAACAAGGAUUCCCCUAGUAACGGCGAGUGAAGAGGGAAAAGCUCAAAUUUUAAAUCUGGUGUCUUUGACUCCCGAGUUGUAAUCUAGAGAAGUGUUUUCCGUGUCGGACCGUGUACAAGUUCCCUGGAACGGGGCGUCAUAGAGGGUGAGAAUCCCGUAUAUGCCACGGACUACCGAUGCUCUGUGAUACACUCUCAACGAGUCGAGUUGUUUGGGAAUGCAGCUCAAAAUGGGUGGUAAAUUCCAUCUAAAGCUAAAUAUUGGCGAGAGACCGAUAGCGAACAAGUACCGUGAGGGAAAGAUGAAAAGCACUUUGGAAAGAGAGUGAAACAGUACGUGAAAUUGUUGAAAGGGAAGCGUUUGAAGUCAGUCGCAUCUGUUGGGGUUCAGCCUGGCUUUUGCCUGGUGUAUUUCCUUUCCGAUGGGUCAGCAUCAGUUUUGACCGAGGGAAAAAGACAUUUGGAAUGUGGCUGUCUUCGGGCAGUGUUAUAGCCUUGUGUUGUAUGUCUCGGUUGGGACUGAGGAUUGCAGCGCGCC